GUUGGUGCUUUAUCCAAACGUGCUCCACCUCUUCCCAUUCCGAACAGAGAAGUGAAAGCGUUUGUGUCCGAUGAUAUUAUCUGCUUCGGCGGAUGAGAAAGUAGGAUGUGCCAACA
rnacentral:rRNA from 2 species